rnacentral:lncRNA from 1 species
CUCUCUCUCUCUCUCUCUCUCUCUCUCUCUCUCUCUCUCCACCAUAAAGGUGUUGCAAAAUACUCAAGUUCAUACUCUCACCUUGCACCAUAAAGUUGAUAUCAAAACUAAAGUUUUGCAUUGAGGUAAAGUUUAAGUUUACUUACAUGUGACGUCUUGAAGAGUCGUUUCGACUAUACUAUAUUGGGACAAACGUUCAAUAGUGUACAAAAUCUAUUUUAAGAAAAGCGUGUUUAACAUGUGCUUCAAUCAACAUGUUCUUGACAUAUGGCUCAAAUACGCGUUACAUUAUGCAAUUAUUGCUUUUGAAUGUGUUUUAGAUAGUAUCAUUCGUGUUCUGUUUAAAUUAACCAAUAAUAUAUUUUCUAACAAACUUGUACAUGUCCAGGGCAUUAUAUUUACAACAAAUAUGGAUCAUUUUAUAGCAUCUCCCGAUAAAUUCAACUUAGUAUGAGUGACUCCCCCAUCCACUUGUCAGUUCGUUAGAAUCAUCAUAGACUAGUGAUAAUCCUUUGGUUUACACUGUUUAAUAUUGACUCAUUGAUUGGUAUGUGCGUCGUCUAGUAUUUAUAGUUGUUACUGCACACGUUAACAUAUUGUAUACGACAAAUUUUAUAAUUGUUUUUAUGUCUAUUAAAGAGCAUCACUCAUAUAAUCUGACUAACGUUUUUUCUUUCAGUGUCAUUCUAGCAAAGUCAUGGAGUCAGAUACCACAAGUAUGAGAGUUAGAAAAUGUUUUCCAUUGAGAUUCUUACAUAAUUUGUAGGUCACGUGAACGACAAAUUUUAUAAUUGUUUUUUAUGUCUAUUAAAGAGUAUCACUUCGAUUUUCCUUCCUGUGUCAUUCUAGCAAAGUCAUGAAGUCGGAUCACCACAAGUUUGGGAGUUAGAAGAUGUUUUCCAUUGAAAUCCUUAGAAUAAUUUAUGGGUUAUGUAACAAUAUUUGAUAUGUUUAAUAUUAAUUUACCAUUUUUGUAAAAGGAUUAAACCAAUUAGGUUUUUAAUGGUAUGUUCAUAGUUCAAAGUACGUCAUCAUAAAAUAUUUAUAAUAUUUGAAUAAAAUAAAGUGACUGUAUUAUGGUGGGACCAACUAGAGAAGGUAAGCGACAAUAAUAAGAAAAGAAAAUUUCCAAAUGAGCAGGGGAGGAUGGUUGUUCGAUGGCAUAGGUGUCUGUCUUUAUUAUUCCAUUUAGCAUUAAAAAUUAGCAGGAAAUAUUUAAAGCUAUUUCUGGGAGGAAGAAGUAUAGAGAUUUAGAUAUAUUAGAUAGAUACAUCAAACCUAGAUGACAGGGAAAGAGAGAGAAGAUUUCUAGAGGGUUUCAAGGGAGGAGACAUGCCCAAUUUCCCCCAACAACUCUGUUUCUUGCUUCCUUCUUCAAGAUCUCAAAGGUUCAAUUUUUCUUCUUUCUCUCUCUUACUUCUUUCAUCUUACAACACUUCUCUUAUCUGGGUUUCUUUCUUUUUUCUUUCGUUUGACUUUUACUAUAUUGGGUUUCCCUUUUUUGCUAAUUUUAUCUUAUAUUUUAUGCUUUUUGUUCAAUCUUGAUGCAUUUCUUGAUGCGGGUAUAUCUUUAUUUAUGAUUCUUGAAUGAAAUCAAUGCAUACUGUGUUGAGUUUGAGUCAGUAGCUUUAUAUCCUUUUUCUGUAAGAUUUUUCAGCUCUUCUUCCUCCUUCCCGGGGUCCCCCCAACCCUUUCUAGUUACGAGAAUCAUCAAUGAUCUUCGAUUUUCUGAUAAAGAUUUGGGCUUUGAUCUUUUUGGGGGUUUUAAAAAUUGUUUUCGUCCCUCGAAAUUGAUUUUGAUCUUAUCUCGAUAGAGCUGUGAACUGUAUGCAUGUUCAUGGCGGGUCUUUUUAUGAUAUUGGAUUGCAUUUUUUUCAUGAUCAAUAAUGUUUUGGUUGCUUUAUUUGAUUAGAUUCAUUCAAACAAACUACAAUGUGUAAAUCAAAGAAAAGCAUUAGUCAAUUUAAUGCCUAAUUACAUAUGUAACUUGCAUAACAUGAUGAUACUGAGAUGAGCAGCAAAUACCUCAAUUUGUUUACAAAAAUUAUAGCUUGAAGAUGGUUCCUGCACCCCACCUACCUGGAGACCCGAAUGAGUUGACUCAGCAAUCUUACAAUCAAGAUUCAUCCACGUGUCUUUCAUCUGAUCAAUCUCAAAAGGAUGAUGAUGUUGCUACACAUGGGGUUCAUUCUCAAGAUCAAUGCAUCUCAUCAUCUGGUUCAGGUAGUUGAUUGCUAUAACUUUUUUUUUUUUGGAUAUAUUGACUUUUUAAACCAUCAUACCAUUAUUCUUAUUGAACUAUAGUUUGCAAUAACAAGCCAUGUUAGAGAACUUGUGAAAAUGUAAAUGCUAAAUAAACAAUCUUUUUGAAUACAAUUGUGGAACAAAAUUGAUUUUUAUUCAUUUUUUCCUCAACUUAAAGACCAUAACUUGAUCAUUCCAAAAAAUUAAGUUUAAAAUCUGUAAAUCUUGGGGNNNNNNNNNNNNNNNNNGUGGUUAUUCAUUAAUUUUGAAUACAAUUGUGGAACACAAUUGAUUUUUAUUAAAAAGGUUAAAAAGAUGUAACUAAUAAAUAAAAGAUUUUAGUAGACAAAAAUCUAUCAAUUUUAUUAAGUACACAAGUACAAAAAAAGCAAUAAGGAAUAUUUUGGUGUUUUUACAUAAAUAUUUAUAAUAGUUGAACAUAUUUUUAAAACCAAACAUAAAACAAUAAAGAAUUCCGUUAUAUCUCAUGUCAACCAAAUGCAUGACAAAUUCUAAUUCCUUCAUAUUCCAAUUCUUUUGAUUGAUUCCAUUCCUUUUAAAAACAUUAUGCGAACCAAACACCCUUUAAGACUUUGUGAUUCUAAAGAUUAAAGAAACAAGGGUGUGUUCAUAUUCAUAUGGGUGUGAUAUAAAAGCCUAAAACUAAGGUUCAAUAAAUUGUCAAAAGUUAGGACUAAAUAUGAAAACCUUGUUUUCAUUACUUUCUCUUUUAAGUUGUUACAUUUGCACUAAAGUCGAAAAAAAACACUUAUACAUAGCCUAUUGGCAUAAGUUGUUUCUUUUUUAGUCAAUGGGCUUGAUGAGUUAAAGCAAUUAAUGUGGACUAUCCUACAUGGUUGUUUCUUUUUGACUUAAUAAGUUAAUAUGGACAAAAUGACUUUAUGGGUUAAGCUUAAAAACUUCCCUUAAUGUCUUAAAACACCUACCCUUUACCUAAUCGCCAUACUUCUUUUUUCCUCCUAACUCCUCUCACAUUAAAAAUCGAUAAAUAUUGUAAAUUUUUUUUGUUGGAAUGUAAGGGUAAAAUAGUUAUUUAGUCUCAUUCAGACGACUUAUUUUAGUCUAGAAAAGAAACAAACCUUAUGUAUACAACACUUUAUCCAGACAAACAUCAUUAACCGUUCAGUCACUAUAUCCAUACAUGAGUUAAGUAGAAAAGUAACAACACAUUAGUAAAAGAACAAAAACGAUCUUAGUAGUUCAUAACACAUUAAAAUAUGUAAAAGCAACCUACUUAAGCAAAACCUAUAUGAUGUUCUACUUCCAUUUUUAAUACCCGAAUUCAUAAUUUCACUAGUCAUCACCCAAAUACCAAAAUUACCCCUCCCUUAUCGCCAAAGUAAAUAAAGUUCAAUCGAUUUUCUUAGUUUUUUUUCACUUUUAGAGAAUGUGUUUAUAUGAUUAGUUACUCUCUUUUUUCAUGAUAUCUUCAAGAUGAAACUCAAAUGAAGCCAUUUUUAUUUAUGGGCAAUCCAAGUUUUGGCAUGACAGGUGGUCUUCAAGCUGAAAAGACAACACCAAUAGUAUGUGACAUGACAUCUCAUUCUUUUUUAAUCCGUUUUUUUUUUUCACGUAUUCUACUUACUUUUUUGCUUUCAAAAUCAGGUUGAAAAUGUUUAUGCUGAUAAUUACUUCAAUGGACUCUAUACCCCCUAUGGACCACACCCUAUUGUAAGUCCCCCUUACUUAUGUAAUCAAGAUUCAUGAAUAUACUCCCUAUAAUGAAACUAUUAUCAAUAUUUUGACCAGAUUCAACCUCAUAUCAUACAAAUAGCUCCUGCCCGAGUUCCACUCCCCAUAGAUCUCUCAGAAGAUGGCCCUAUUUAUGUCAAUGCAAAACAAUAUCAUGGUAUUCUCAGAAGGAGACAGAUUCGAGCCAAACUUGAAGCUCAAAACAAACUUGUCAAAAACCGAAGGGUACCCACAAUCUUUCUUGAUCUUAACAUUAAGAAAGUAGAUAUCUUUAGUGAUCUUUGUGUGUGAAAUGACUUUUGCAGCCUUACCUUCAUGAAUCUAGACAUAAACAUGCUUUGAAUAGGGUUAGAGGUUCAGGUGGGAGGUUUCUUCCCACCAAGAAACCUCAACAACAAUCAAAACCUGCAAGAUUCUUGACCUCCCAUUUCCCUUCAAGCUAUCAAGAAGCUAAUCAAUCUGGAAUGGAACAUGAACAUUAUCAUGGGUAUAGUGGCAUUUCAUGGGGGAUAAGGGGAAAUGAGGGGUUUUUAAGCACAUCGGGUGGACAAUCAUGAUUGGUUUGGUGGUUCUAUAUAUUGGCUGGUGGGAUAACACACCGGUUGGGCAACUCAUCCUUGGCUUUGUUACUAAGUUUUUGAUGUUCAUUUUGUGUUUCAUCGAGCUUAGGUUUAUUGUAUUUGUUUGGGAAAAGAUUUGUAGCUUACUUGAAUGGUGUUUGGAAAUUUGAAUUUCAUAAAUUGAAGGUUGGUUUAUGAUUAUGAACAUUGGAAUUUGUUAUGAAAUUGGUUGGGAUUGUAUGUAUAAUUACAUAAAAUAUCAAGUGUUUGAGUUUUACGGGAUGUAGUAUGAGAGUUUUGAUAUAUUAAUUUUCUUUAAAUAGUUAUCAGAAUAAGUUAAAUGUUAGUAUUUAAGAAAAGCAAAGCUUUUGCCUUUUGCUAAGAUGUUUUUUUGAAAACUGUAGACCUAAAAAGGUUUGUGCGUCCUCUUCUUAGCGUAGAUGUAAAUCAGAAUCUUCAGACAUCUUUUAGUCUAAAAAACACAUACAUUAGGUUUUUUUUUUUUUUUUUUUUUUUUUUUUUUUUUUUUUUUAAACCUAGAUUAGUUUUAACUUUAUCUAUGAUAAACAAUUUGAAAAAAAAAAGUUAAAAUAUUUAAAGAAAAAAGAUUCGAUGACACAAUCAUGAUUUUUGUGACAAAUUUACAAAUAAAAAUUUAAUUACAAUAAUGGUCGUUAGAGAGAUAUGAAAAAUAAAUCGUAAUAUUGUCUUAUAUUUUUUGUGUCAAAUUUUAUAAAACAUUAUUUAAUGCAAUAUCAUUCAUUUCUUGGGAUAAAUAUUUAUAACCGGUUUUUAAUUGAUUUAAUUGAAAAGAUAAAAUGAAAAUUUUGAAAAUUUCAUUUAAAACCAAAGUUUAUUUCCAUUCAUUUUACGUGUUAAAUUCUUUUAUCCUUAAUUAAAAUGUUUAGAUAUAUCUUUGCGACCAAAGUUUGUUGGUUUUUAUCAAAUAUAUACGUUAAUUCGUAUCAUUUUAUUUUCAUUUUUUAUAUAUUAAUACAUUAAAGUCGAUCUAUAUUUGUUAAUUAUUUAUAAUAAAGUCAUAAAGUUAUUGAAAAAACUCUUUUAAGUUUUUUUUUUUUUUUUUUUUUUUUUUUUUUUUUUUUUUAAAUCAGUUUAAUUAGGUUUUAGAAAACACUGUAAAAUUGGUCCUUGUGGUAUUCAAAUUUUUUUGGAUAAGGUCUAAAAAGUUUUCAACUUGCAUGGAAAGUCAAAAAUCAAGAAUUUUCUUUGGUUUUGGUCCGUGGAGGACUUGAAAAGACUGUUUUGCCAUUUUUAUUUUUUUUUUGUAUUUUUUAUAUUUCUUUAAUAAUUUAUUAAUUAAAAAUAAAAAAUGAAGGAAUUGGGCCCACCGCCACCCUUAUCGAUACUCCUCUCUCUCUCUCUCUCUCUCUCUCCCCUAUUCUUAAACACCUGCAAAUCAAACUCUCAAAAACACACACAUACAAUUAACAUAAACACACACACGCAAAUCGAUCUCUAGGUUUUUUAGGAAUAACGACUAACAUAAACAUACACAAAUUGAUGGCUGAUGGAAAUGAAAAAAGAAGAAGCAAUGUAUUUGGGUUUGCAAUCGGAUGUAAUGUAUUUGGGUUGUGUGGAUUCUGAUCUGGUAUUCUACAAACCACAAAUAGAUCUAGAUAUUUGGUGAUCCUACAACCAAACGGCGUUAAUGGUGGUGUUUGUGGAUGGAUCUCCGGGGGAGAGGAGGAAGACGUUCUUGCUCCACCCCUGACUUCAAUCGCCAUCGAUGAUGGAUCUCCUAAGUUCGCCAUCGUUCUAGGUGAUGUUCAUCGGGUGUGUUGUAGGUGGUGUUCAUUGGAGCUCAUCGUCAUUUCAGGAGGUGUUCUUCAGGUAGACUUUUGUAUGUGGUUUUCGUUUCAGAUCUGGCCUUCUCCAUCUUCGUUUCAGAUUUGGAAAGAACAAACACACCUUCAAGCAUAGUAACCUUUUUUUCAUGCGUAAAAUUGGAGGUGGGAAUUGUAAAGCUUGUAUCUUGAUGCAACUUUUGAAGAUUAUUGAAAUUGAUAUUUUACCGUCUGUGUUUCAGAUCUAGAACACACACGCACAUACACACAUACAGGGAGAGAGAACCUAUGGGUGGG